rnacentral:snRNA from 1 species
GGGUUAAGGGAUGAGCUGUGUCCCUUUUCUUCUUACCUCUCCAUUUGCUUUCCUCUGGGAGCUCCACACUGGAUCAGAUGACCUUCUCCAAUAGAGGAAGAAGGGUUGUCUGUCAAAACCAUAUGGCUAGCUGUUCUUCCCUGCUAGAGCCUCCAAACAAGCUCUCAAAACUAUGUUAAUAGUUUUUUACCUUGAUCAGUCUAACAGAUGAAAGAUGGGCAGCACUUCAUUUUCUUUUCUUGAGACAGGGUUUCUCUGUGUAGCCCUGG